UACGUAGGGCGCAAGCGUUGUCCGGAAUUAUUGGGCGUAAAGAGCUCGUAGGCGGUCUGUUGCGUCUGCUGUGAAAACCCGGGGCUUAACCCCUGGCUUGCAGUGGAUACGGACAGACUAGAGGUAGGUAGGGGAGAAUGGAAUUCCCGGUGUAGCGGUGAAAUGCGCAGAUAUCGGGAGGAACACCAGUGGCGAAGGCGGCGAUCUGGGAAGAUACUGACGCUGAGGUGCGAAAGCGUGGGGAGCAAACAGG
rnacentral:rRNA from 1 species